GGCCAGCGGGGCCAAUGAGCUCCGCCCGCCCCUCCGGCCGCGCUUUAAUCUCGUUUUUUUCCCCCCCCCGUUAAAAGCGGCGAGACGCGGCUUUCCAGCUUUGUAGUGGGAAACGAAGCGAAAUGACAUCUUGGUAGCACGAGGGUGCUGGUGGGGGGCUGGCCUGGAGCGGAGACCGUGGCCUGGCGGGGAUGCACAUUCGGAACGGCGGGGUCCGCAUCCCCGGGUGUGGGGUCACAGCGCGGUGUGUGCUGUGAGCACCGGCAGCCGCUCCCUGUCCCCGUGCCGUGUCCCCUCCCGGCUGUAACACCCAGCCGUCCCCCGCUUCCCACAGGGAAUAUUUCAGCGUUGUUACCCCUAACUUGCUUCUCUUUGGCAGGCGUAGCUCAGCGGUGGCUUCUGUGUCUGAGCAGGCUCUGGGUGAUGCCGCCCUUCUCCUCGUUUCCAGACGAGGUUUUUGAGCAAGGAGGGGAGCGUGCCUCCCUGCCAGCGAGGCUUGGGGAAGUUUGAAUGGAUUCCUGACACGCCAGGAGCAAGGCUGGCUGCUCGCUGGGAGCGCCGUGUUCUCCAGCAUCCGUGCAAUUUGCGCCCACACAUGAGCUGUUCAAUCCUUGGCGUUACCCCGAGAACUGGGAAGGCUAAAAACACCCCACCUAAACCCAUAACCCUCACCUAAACUUACAAUUCCCACCUAAACCUGUAAUCCCACUUCUUUUGUGUUUAGAGUUGCCUCUCUGGUGGUGUCUGGGGUUCAUAACCCGAGUGAGGGAAUGACCGUGGGGCUUUGGGGGCACAAGCUGUGCUGCAGAGGUGGUGCCGUGGCCAAGGUGUGGUGCCCAAUGUCUGUGCUUAAGGAAGGGGGGUCGGCUAGGUAAUAAAAGUUUGGCUUUUCCUUCAGAAACGCCAAAGACGUUGCCAUCCCCGCGUUGUACUCCAGGGUGACAUUGUGUUGUCAUCUCACUGGGUUGAAAAUUAGCGAAAUCCUCUUCUGUUUUGACAGACGGGCUCCUCCUCGCCUCUGAAGUUGAGUCACACAUUUAAAGCACAGAUCCCAGCACUUCCCUCUCGCAGCCCUGAAAGGGGAAGGAUGGAGGAGGCCGGAGGUUGCUCUGCCCUGCGGGGUUGGGACACGGGACCGCUGCUGUCACCCUGCCCGUGCCAGAGCCAGGGGUCAGGGUUUGUGUCACACAGCUCCCUGGGCUUGUUGAAAAGCGUCCUGGAGUGUGGGACUGCAAGCUGGGGCUGUAGGAGGGUGACACAGAGUGUCUGUGUGCCUCUUGCAGGGUGAGGUAUAUUCGACACUGAAUCUCUUUUAGGAAAAGGGAUUGUCUUGCCUGUCCCCUGUCCUGGCCUCUCCUGGCGUCCCUGAUGGGGAGGGACGAGUUCAGCUGAGUGGUUGGACGUGUCCCUGGCUUCUCAAAGAGCAGCACAGCUGCUACUCCGGGCUGACGUCUCUGCUAGAGACCUGUGGAGAGGUAUUUGGGUCCAAAUUACUCACGGGCUGCAUCAGAGUGGAAAGAUGACCUAAAGCAGGAUCCACAGAAGUGAUUGCAUCGAGUUGUCAUGUUUCAGAUGAUGCUUAAAAGAAUCCCGAUGGCCCAUCGCCAGGAGCCACAGCUGAAAUCUGUCUGCUGCCUGCUUUGGUCGUGCAGUGAACCUUUCCAUUUGGAGUGUCAUUCUUUAGGUUUGCUGUUCCAAAAUCUUGUAUAACAAUGCAAUCCUUCACUGGAGGAUGAGACGCAGUUGUGUCUCUCCCUGAUGUGGACGGUGUCUUCUGGUCGUGCUGUGCUUCCUCUUGGGUCACGAGCAAAUGUUGUGUUGUUACAGCUCUUCCUCCCAAGUCAAGAGAUGGUUUUGGUACCAAAAGGGGUUUUCUGAGAGUCACUUUGCUGAAGAGAAUUUUUCAAUGCUCCAGGAGAGUUUGAUCUUGGGGACAGUGUUCUAGCAGCAGUGAAAACAAGAAGGCAAAUUUUCUUCUCCUUCCAGAGCAAUAGUCCAUGGCAGAGACACAUCAUUAAAUAAAACGAUGCUGUGUGCGAGUUAAUGGA